GAUGAAGAACGUAGCGAAAUGCGAUAAGUAGUGUGAAUUGCAGAAUUCAGUGAAUCAUCGAAUCUUUGAACGCACAUUGCGCCCUUUGGUAUUCCUUAGGGCAUGCCUGUUCGAACGUCAUUUAAACCUUCAAGCUCAGCUUGGUGUUGGGUGACUGUCCGCUUCACCGCGGACUCGCCUCAAAAUUAUUGGCGGCCGGUACAUUGGCUUCGAGCGCAGCAGAAACGCGAACUCGGGCCCGUCGUAUUGGCUCCCAGAAGCUAUCUUCACAAUUUUGACCUCGGAUCAGGUAGGGAUACCCGCUGAACUUAAGCAUAUCAAUAAGCGGAGGA
rnacentral:misc_RNA from 1 species